CUAGAUUCUGGUAAGCAAGUGAACAAAAUUCAUCUCUGUUUUCACGAAGCUUGUGUCCUAGGAUACAGUUAAUAAAUAUACCAGACGAGAUGGUGAUUGUGCUACAGAGAAUAAAACAAGGUGGGGUCAAAGUAGGGGAUGUGCAUGGGUGUUACUAUGGGGUAGUUAGGAAUGCUUUCCCUAAAAAGGUGACAUCUGGGCAAACGCUUGGAGAAAGGGAAGGAGUAAAAAGAAUUCCAGACAGAUUUUUACUGGAAAACGUGGUUAAAAAUUUGAGGGCGGGG
rnacentral:lncRNA from 1 species